rnacentral:lncRNA from 1 species
AUGGAGCCCACAGCUAAAGGACGGACCGAGAAAAAUUUCAGCUACGUUGUCAGAGCCCCCAGCAGCGAUGGGUUUGAUGUCAUGAACGUUGAUGUGAAGAUCGACACGUCCUGGGUGUUCCAGGACGUAGAAGACAGCGGUGGGGAGCAGGAAGCCCGAAGCCCAGGCGCGGACCCAGGCACGCUCAGGAAGCAGCUGGAAUCCUCGGAGCAGAAGCUGCUGGCCGCCGUGGACAAGUACGUGAUGUCCGAGUCCGGGCUGAGGAGCAGAAUCCAGGAGCUGGAGCUGUCGGAGAGACAACUGCUGCACAAGGUGGACCAGCUGAGCGCUCGUGUGAAGCAGGAACAGAGCGCUGCUGUCCGGGCCCAGGAGAAGCUGCAAGCCCUGCAGGGGGAGCUUGCCAGCCAGGUACAACUUUCCCUCUUCUUUCCAGUACUUGUUUCUUGACCUAGCAGGAUGGCCCCCUGUGCUGGGAGGAGGCAGCAGGUGCAUUGAGCAAAGACAGUGGUGGGUGGUGGGGAUGCUGGGAGAGCCCAGCCAGGGGACUUCGAGGGGUCCUGAUUCCAACGGUGCAGGCAGGGGCUGUGAGGUCCAGGGCAAGGUCACAUGGUUUCUCCGGGCCUCAGCUGCCCUGUCCGUAAAAUGUGAUCCCCAUUCCGCCCUGCCCUCCUCACCAGGGUUCUGGCUGGGAUCCGCUGGGGGGAACGGGGAGCUGGUGAAGCACUGGGUGACCUGCAGGAGCCAUGUAAUCACUGGGAGCUUUGGUCAGAGGUUCAUUUCUGUGGCUCUUGGACAAGCUGAGGACUGACGUAAGGUCUCUGCUCUCAGGAGCUGGCAUGCAGGUGGAAACAUGGAUAGGAGACAUGUAACUUCCAAAUUCGAUGCCAGGUGCCAGGGGGAAGGUGCAGGCACAGUGUGUGUCCUUGGAGUUGGUGGGGGGAGGGGGCGCUCCAGUUGGUCCUUGGAAGAAAAGAAAAGCACACGAGGUGUGCAUAACAGCCUACGUAUAGGCACAGGAGUGUGGGGGGAUAUGUUGGGGCCAGAGCAGAAGGUCUGGGCACAGAGAGGGCAUUGGCGAGGGAGGAAGGCUCCAGAGAGGCCAGGUUGCCAGGACCACGGUGUGGUCCAAAUAUUGACUGCAAUGAGGAGCAAGCUUUAGGGAACUUUAGCAGGAGAGGCUCAAGACAGGGUUCUGGAGAAAUUAUUCUAAUUGCAGGGGUGGUGGGGGGAGACAGAGAGAAAGAGAGAGAGAAAGAGAUGGUAGAAUCAGGAGGACAAGUUAGUGCUCUGGACAAGCAGUGGGUGGUUAAGGAGGUGGACUUGGGAGACAGACACCUGGUGCCAAACCUGGCCAUGCCGCUCCCUGGCUGUGUGACCUGGGGCAAGUGAUGUAACCUCUCUGGGCCUCGGUUUCCUCAUCCGUGAACUGGGAAUGAUAACAGUACCAACCGUCUUGGGUUGUUAUGUGGGCCAAGUGAGUGAGUAUGUGUAAAACACUCACAGCGGUAACCGUAUCCGACACCAGCUGCUUUUGUAAAUAUUAGCCUUUAUUGAAAUAUUCCAGGGGCGAUGAUGAAGGGUGGAGGUAGGGCACACUUCGGGAAUACUGCAGAGGCAGAAGUGACAGGCUUCCAGGACAACCGCGUGUGGCUCUCGGAGCCCCUGCCAUGCACCGUACAGCCCAGCAGCGACUGUCAAACUGCAGGUGGACUCCCGCUUGUGGUCCGUGUUGCAACCAGCAUUUUUUUUAAACCGGCAUGAACUAGGAAAUAAGAAAGGGCAUUAUGUGUACAAGGAGUGCUGUUUGGUGAAGCUUCUGUUUCAGUGGUACCCGGCGCAUGCAAGGGGGCACGGGGUGGAAGUGUGUUUCUCAGUGUGGGGAGCAGUCAAAACGGCUCGAAAGCCCUGACUGAGGCAUGAACUGAGACAGACACGGAAAGAUAAGGAGCUCGUUUAAAUUGAAAUUCAUCUUUGAGGCGCCAGGGAGACAUGCAAGUGGCAUUUCCCCCUCUGCAUUGAACGGCAGGGGCGGGAAGCCCAGUUCCGCUCGUCCUCUGCUCCGCUAGCACGUCCUCGUCAGUGUCCCCGGGGGAGCUGUCGCGUGAAAUGCAGUGCUGGUGUGUGCGAUCCCGCCACAAACAAUGUGAUCUCUCCAUGGAAACUACUUCACUCAAGAUGUUUUGGGCCAUGCCCUGUAUCCAUGCAGGAUUUCCAAAGGGAAUUAGCCACAGCCUUACAGUCACCUGUUCCCAGUGCACUGGGGAGACAGAGGAUGAGGGUGCGAGCAGGGACAGUGCUGUCAGGGGGCUCAGAGGCACCGCGGGGCCAGCAGUCCUAUGGGAUACUAUGGCCUCUUCUACACACACGUCCUUAUUAGCUUGUCCUGUGAUCUGUAUGCCCCUGGGAAGACCUGUCAGGAAACCCCACUUCCAGACUGGAGGGCACGAGUUCAGAGCGGUGGGGGUGCUUGCUCAGGGUCCCUCUGUGACCACUUGACCCAGCUACAAGCCCGAACCUCCCCCCAGUGAUGUCCGCAUUUGGGAGCAGGUUUUGUAGGAGCGCACAGAUGAGUUUUCCUCUGCCCUUUGUACCUGAUAUUUGCCGAAGGGCGGUUUUGCCCGUUGUCACUGUUCCCAGUUAAGCAUUUGCAUGCAAAAUCACCUCAUUUCUGUAGUGACCUGUGGUCAUUCUGAGGGUUGAUAGAGGCUGUCCAACCCAGGGGAUGGAGCAUUGCUGAUUAUGGGAUGAUUGGGAGCAGUUUUCUUCCCAGGGAAUCAGAGUCCAGCUUCAUCUGUUCCACGUCCCCCCAAAACAAGCUGUCAGCCAAAGCCUGCAGAGCCGCCCCCAGCUUCCCUUGUCCACACGUGCUCUGUGCUGUCUUCAGCAAGCUCUCCUGGCAGACAGCAGUGGCCGGCUGCCAGCAGUCACUGGUGGCUGCCAGAGAGCUUAACACGGAGGCAGUGCCACCCGUGUGCUUCAAUUCCUCCUGGAAAUUGGGCCAGGACUCCUGUUUUUGCAGUGGCCCCGGUCUAGCUCACAGCUCCAGGGCCGGUGCAGGGAGGGCUAGGCCCAAGAGCAGAGAGUUGUUCCUCCACACCUUGAGUCAGAUACACAGAAGUUCGAGUCCUGGCCAUGGUGACAUGUAGCACCGUGAUAUUGUGUUAGCGGCUUCUGAGCGUCCCAAGGGGAUAGUGACAGUACCUAGUGCUUGGAGGUAUUCACAAUAAGGAACAGCUGCCGAGCUGUGUCUCACGAGCCAGGAGCAGGGCAGGUCGACUUCUGCAGGGCCAGGCAUUACCCCUUUAGCAUUAGGGACAUGGAGAGAUCGGGGAGGUCCUGGGUGGAAAUGGGGAAGCUCAAGUGGGUCCGGGCGGCAGCCCUGUACACACUGGUGUGGAGGUACUCAGUAUUGGAACCACUGGCGCGCCCUCUCUGCCUGCAGCAGCUGAUGCCCAUGCCUACCAGCGCAGUUUCCAUCCAGGGCCCCAGGGAGCUCCUGGUGUGCAGGGCUCCUACUGGGGUGCAGCGAGGGAGGCACUCCUCCUCUGCAAAAUCUGCAGGGACACCAAAAAACCCUCAGUGAUGAAAUCAGUAAUAUUGGAUGCAA